GCUGAUUCUGUGUCUGGCAUGGGGUUGGGACCCAGUGAAUGUGAGCAGUUAAUUGUUUCCUGAUGCUACCUACCAUCCUUUAAAGGAGAUGAGAGGGAGUUCCCAUUGUGGAUCAGCAGGUUACAAACUCAACUAGUAUCAUGAAGAUGUGGGUUAGAUCCCUGGUCUCUCUCAGUGGGUUAAGGAUCUGGUGUUAUGUAGCUCACAGAGGUGGCUCAGACCUGGCGUUGCUGUGGCUGUUGUGUAGGCAGGCUACAGCUCCAAUUCGACCCCUAACCUGGGAACUUCUGUAUGCUGCAGGUGUGGUCCUUAAAAGAGGAAAAAAAAAAAAAGAUGAGAGACAGAUCCUGAAAAGUCAGCCAAUGGACGAAAGUGAGGAGAACUUGCUGUGGGUAAUGCCCUGACCUCCAUCCCUGCCAUGGGCUCAGGAAGAUUUAUUUUGCAGCAGCCAAGGGCCUAUCUUGUGUGCUGGGACAACGAGCCUGGAGAUGGGGGCUGGACAUGCUUUUCCAUCUCCUUUGAAUCUCCAUAUGGGCAUUGAUGGCUGCCCCUGUCCCUGAGCAUUUGGAGGUGGCCUGAGGGGGACCCUGGAGUUGUCCAAUGAAGGCUGGGCAGAGGGAGGGGGAUUUGCCCAAAGAACAAUGUAGCAACUGACUUUUCCUAAAAACUGCUAGUGAAAACCUCUGUCCUGCCCUCUCCCAGCCAGCACCUUCUAUCAAGAAUCCCAAGGGAAGGAAAGGGACAGGGAAGACAGAGCCAAUCAGACCGAUGCCUAAUGGUGUUUGGCUUUGUCCUCGAAUGGCUCUGCAGGUCCCCUGUGAGCCUGUGUGUAGGAAAUGAUCUUUGCUCCAAAUAAAGACUUCAGUGGCUUCUUUUUCUGCUGAAUUUGAGGCUCAUUCUCAGACGUCAGUGCUUUACUGUGAGAACAAGCUACAACCUCCAGCAAAAAGGAAGAGACAGUGGAAGAGGCAGCCCAUGGGCCCAGUGUAGCAGCAGGUAGGGUGACUGACUCAGGUUCCCCUAGGACUUGGCUGGUUUUUGUUCUUAAAGUCCCCAGAUCUCCUUGGAAGCAGUGCUGAUCCUCUGAACGACCCUUGUGUCUUUUGAAAACCAUGCUGACAGCCCAGCCUCACUCCAAGCUCAUGCCUCCAAACCCUCAGGAGCAGGAUCCAGGGAUCUGAAUUUUUUACAAGUUGCCCUGGAGGGAGCCAGUCUGUUGUCAGGCAAGGCGAUGGGAGAGAGCAGUCCCUGGGCCCCCUGCCCAUCACUGUGAGUGUCGUGUCCUGUCCAGAAGAAGUGGUCUAAACGUAUCCCUACGAUGGGCUUUCUUAGGGGAGGAAAGGUGGAGGAGGGGUGGGAAGAAGCUCUCACUCCUGUUCGGAGACCCAGAACUGGUUGGGGGUGGAGGUGUGGGUGAGGGUGGCCUGUUGAGCCCAUGUUGCCAGAUAACAUUUAAGAUUUUCUUUUCACCCUGUAUGGGCAUCUGCAGCUUUCUACAAGGGGCUUCCUUUGAUAGAAGCUUCAAGAACUGGAAAGGCUGAUUUGGAGUUCAUUCAUUCAUGCAUUUGUUCACAUGUUCCAUGUUCAUCAGGCAUUUAUCGGACACAUGUUAUGUACCAGUGUUGUUCCCAGUUCCAGGAACCCAUGGUGACCUAGGCUGACGGGGUCCCUGGGUCCCUCCAUGGUGGAAUUUUUGAUUCCAGCAGGGUCUGUAAAGCAACAGAGAGAUCAAAAAGGGCAGCCAGCACCUGAUGUUUGAACGUUUUCCAUGGGCUCCUCUCCAGAUCCUCUCUCCACCCUUCCUCACCCUGCUCUGUGCUCUAGGAGGCUGCCUGGUCACCCGCUGGAGCGUCCUUCAACCGCUGGCUUCUGCCUGGAUAGGCGAGGGGGAGGCACAGUGAUCGGAAGAAGUGGGAGGGAAGUUGGGGAAAUUGAUGCCCUGACUUCCUCCUUGCAGAGUCUCUGAGGGCGGGGGCUGCCUCCCUCCAGCAAGACGCCCACCAGUGGUCCUCUCCUUCCUUGUGGGCCUGGGGAGGUAAAGCCUCCUCAGCAAUACCAGCCCCUGGAGGCUGCACCGGCUCUUCUGGGUCUCGAUCCUUCUCUCGCUCCUAUGAAUACCCCUUUAAUAAACUGUCUUCAGUUACUGCCUGGAGUGUACCAUCUUUUUCCUUCCAGGACCCUCACUGCAGCAGUCCUAAAGUGCAUCCACAUUCCAGAAAAUAACAACUCAAUUCUCCAGACAAGUGUGCUCAUCUUAUUUUUAAAGAGACACCCACGUCACUGCUAAAGGAACAUCUAAUUUAUGAUUGUAUCUGUGAGCUCAGUUUUAUAAAACAAUGCGUUGACCAUUAAGAAAUGGAAAUGGCUAACAGACUGGAAAAAUCAUCUUCACUGGAAUAAAAUAAGUGACAAGUCAUUGAAAAGUGAGACCUUAUUUUUACCCUCUCAGACAAACCCUGUGAUGGAGGUCUAAGUGGGUCACUUAAGGGACUGUUAUCAAAAGCCUUAGCAUUUUUAUUCUUAUGCAUCAAGCAAUUCUUUGGUUGAGCGUGUCCACUUAAGGAAACAUUCAAAAACAAAGGUUUUAUGGACAGAGAGGUUCAUCACAGUUUUAGUUAAUACUAAAAAAAUAUAGAAAAUAGAAAUAUUCUGUAAAAGAAGGUUGGUUAAAGAAAUGAUGUUAUGUCCAGGAGGGAAGUGGUUAAGUGUAUAGACUUAGACAAAACCUCCUCUGGUUACACCUUCUGUCACAGUGCUAAGUGCUUUGUGUGUCUUGAGCCAUCCAGUCCUCCCAACGGAAGCCGUGGGAGGCAGGAGCAUGGGGGAAAGUGCUCAAUGAAUGAUCAAUUAUGCCUUGUGAAAUAAGUCGGGCAGGGAAAGACAAACACCAUAUGACAUCCCUUGUAUGUGGAAU
rnacentral:lncRNA from 1 species